rnacentral:rRNA from 1 species
UUCUCCGCGAAAUCUAUUUAGGUAGAGCGUCAUGUAUCACUACUGGGGGUAGAGCACUGUCUCGGCUAGGGGGUCAUCCCGACUUACCAACCCGAUGCAAACUCCGAAUACCAGUAAGUGCAAUCAUGGCAGACACACGGCGGGUGCUAACGUCCGUCGUGGAGAGGGAAACAACCCGGACCUACAGCUAAGGCCCCUAAUUCGUGGCUAAGUGGGAAAGGAUGUGGAAAUCCCAAAACAACCAGGAGGUUGGCUUAGAAGCAGCCAUCCUUUAAAGAAAGCGUAACAGCUCACUGGUCUAAAUAAGCCGUCCUGCGCCGAAGAUGUAUCGGGGCUAAAGUCGUGCACCGAAGCUGAGGACUUCAUCUUAUGAUGGAGUGGUAGCGGAGCGUUCCGUAAGCCUGCGAAGGUGCACCGCGAGGUGUGCUGGAGGUAUCGGAAGUGAGAAUGCUGACAUGAGUAGCGACAAAGAGGGUGAGAGACCCUCUCGCCGAAAGUCCAAGGUUUCCUGCGCAAUGCUAAUCAGCGCAGGGUUAGUCGGCCCCUAAGGCGAGGCAGAAAUGCGUAGUCGAUGGGAAGCAGGUUAAUAUUCCUGCACCAGUGGGUAGUGACGGAUCUCGUGUGUCGUCAGUCCUUAUCGGAUUGAACUGGCGGCGAAGAGGUCCCUGGAAAUAGCUCCCACAUUAGACCGUACCCCAAACCGACACAGGUGGACUGGUAGAGCAUACCAAGGCGCUUGAGAGAACUCUGCUGAAGGAACUAGGCAAAAUGG